AGAGUUUGAUCAUGGCUCAGAGCGAACGUUAGCGGCAGGCUUAACACAUGCAAGUCGAGCGAGAAAGGGACUUCGGUCCCAAGUACAGCGGCGGACGGGUGCGUAACACGUGGAUAAUCUGCCUUUAGUGGGGAACAACAGUCCGAAAGGAUUGCUAAUGCCGCAUGUCACGGCGGAAUCUCCGGGUUCUGUCGGAAAAG
rnacentral:rRNA from 1 species